rnacentral:rRNA from 1 species
GAUGAACGCUAGCGGAAGGCCUAAUACAUGCAAGUCGAACGGGCAUAUUGAUUUCGGUUAAUAUGUUAGUGGCGCACGGGUGAGUAACGCGUACACAACCUACCUUAUAUUGGGGGAUAGCCCCUGGGAAACUGGGAGUAAUACCGCAUAACAUUAUAGAGAGGCAUCUUUUUAUAAUUAAAGCAUUUGCGAUAUAAGAUGGGUGUGCGUCUGAUUAGGUAGUUGGUAGGGUAACGGCCUACCAAGCCGACGAUCAGUAGGGGGUGUGAGAGCAUGGCCCCCCACACGGGUACUGAGACACGGACCCGACUCCUACGGGAGGCAGCAGUAAGGAUAUUGGUCAAUGGAGGCAACUCUGAACCAGCCAUUCCGCGUGAAGGAUGAAUGCCCUCUGGGUUGUAAAACUUCUUUAGUCUGGGAAANAAAAACAUAUAUUCAUAUAUGUCUGACGGUACCAGAAGAAUAAGCACCGGCUAACUCCGUGCCAGCAGCCGUCGGUAAAGUCGAUAUCG